rnacentral:rRNA from 1 species
GACGAACGCUGGCGGCGUGCUUAACACAUGCAAGUCGAACGGUGAACGAGGGAGCUUGCUCCCUCCGGAUCAGUGGCGAACGGGUGAGUAACACAUGAGCAAUCUGCCCCGAACUCUGGGAUAAGCGUUGGAAACGACGUCUAAUACCGGAUACGACGCGGGAGGGCAUCCUCUCCGCGUGGAAAGAACUUCGGUUCGGGAUGAGCUCGCGGCCUAUCAGCUUGUUGGUGAGGUAACGGCUCACCAAGGCGACGACGGGUAGCCGGCCUGAGAGGGUGACCGGCCACACUGGGACUGAGACACGGCCCAGACUCCUACGGGAGGCAGCAGUGGGGAAUAUUGCACAAUGGGCGCAAGCCUGAUGCAGCAACGCCGCGUGAGGGACGACGGCCUUCGGGUUGUAAACCUCUUUUAGCAGGGAAGAAGCGAAAGUGACGGUACCUGCAGAAAAAGCACCGGCUAACUACGUG